GAAAAAAAAAAAAAGUGUUGACUAUCUCAAUACUUUUACUGAUUAUAUGAUGAAAUGAUUAUGUUUGGGGGGAUAUAUAUAUAUAAUUAAAAUUAAUUUCACUUGUUUCUUUUUACUUCUUUUAAUGUGGCCACUAGAAAGUUUUAAAUCACAUAUGUAACUCAUAUGAUAUUUCUAUUGGACAGCACUGGAUUAGACACUCCAAAAGAAUUUCCGGUUGACUAGAGGAUCAUUUCCCCACUUUCUAUACUACCUCAGCUCUCUUAUAAACUUUUUAUCUAACGCUAAAAAUUCAGGGUAGGACAGGCCAGUCAUAGAAGCUAAUAAAGAAAAAUCUUACUUCAAGUGUAUCAGACAUACCUUUUUUUCCUUUGAUUUUAAUGCCAUGGUUAAACCCUGAAUGGCUUUAUCCCUCUUUAGACUAUUUUUCUUCUCUGUAGCAAUUUCUCUUUCCUUCUCUCUCAGGUCCUCUUCAAGUGCCUAAAUUAGAUUAGAAAAAGAUUCACUAAGUUGAUGCGUUCCAACCAAAAUGCACCGUAAAUAUAUCUUUAAGAGCUGAACAUAGUGCCAUCAGCUCCAAGUUACUGUGUUACCGCUCCCGGCAACAGGGCUGGGUGAAGGGAAGGGGAUCAAAUCAGUUAAGACGAUGACAGCUAUUCCUAUGGGAAGGAUUCCAAUGC
rnacentral:lncRNA from 1 species